GGCUCACUCAGUGUGGGGGCUUGCACAUCUGAAGUUUGCAGAACAGGCCAACGGCUGGAAACCCAGGAAAGAGCAGCCUGAGUCAAAGGCCAUCUGGAGGUAGAAUUCCCUCUUCCUCGGGGGAGGUCUGUCUUUUUCUUAAUGACUUCAACUGAUUGGAUAAGGCCCACCCACAUCAUGGAGGGUAAUCUGCUUUACUCAAAGUCUACUGCUUUAAAUGUUAAUCACAUUCAGAAAAACAGACACAAAACCAAUUUAAAAAGAAAAAAAGGAAAGAAAACAAAAACCAUAGCGAUACCUAGUUUGACCAAAAACUGCGUCCCAUGACCCAGGCACGUUGGUUCAUAAAAUUAACGGUGACAGGCAAUAAGUAGAAGUGAUAGAUAGUAGUAUCUUAAUAUUCUCAAUUUACUCUUCUCCUUCCCUUCCCCACCUUUCUACCUGGAAUGCUUACCACAGUCUUGAGCCAUGAGAUCGAGACCAUUGGUAGGAUAAACCCUUGGGAAGGCGCCCAGAGACCCAAGGACCUUGUGAGAAGGAAUAGCCAUAGCGUCCCUGGCUGCUUACCUCCAAAACUUAUAUACAGGAAAGACAAAUGGACUUCUCUCUUGGCUCACCGCCCACCGGCCCGUCAGAGCCCAUCUCCCGUCUUGUGGAGCCGACUGUCCCCACCACACCCCCAGUGCACAUCCUACAGCACCCUCUCCAGAUGCACAACGCUUUCACGGGACAGGGUUCGGUGCCCCAGAAGCAGGAGGCUCCUAUGCAUUUGAGGAAUGCUGAAAGCAUUCAAGUGGUCUGCCAAAUCCAUACCGCCAUCACUUACGGUAAGUGCUCAAAAAUAUUUGUUUGGAUAAAUUAAUAAGGUGGCAGAGUCCAAAGAGUCCAGUGAUAACCUCAUAUCAUAUCUGAAUGAUCUUCACUUCUUUUCUCCCUAAAAGACGCUCCCCUCGCUGAUCAGAAACCUUUACAAGAUAAGGUCAGGCUAAGCGCUCUUCCUGGGGACUGAGGCCACUGUCUCCAGCUGCCUGGGAAGUCAACAGCUCUGUGUUUACUGAGAAAUUAUUAUGUGCUAAGUCAGGAAAUCUGUCUUCAUGGCCUCACAGGAGAGGGAAACUUGUAGCAGAUAAAUGCCUUUUGGUCCUGCCUUAGGAAGUACAAGGAGAAAGGCAGCAGGGAGUAGAGGUGUCCGACUCGUGUGAGGGGCUAUGUAGAAUUUACUGGAUGCACUCCAGGCAAUGCUAAGCAGUGAUCAGAAGCAAGAUAAUGUGUCUACACAGAGUCGCACGGGUGGAUGGUAAAUGCAGUGCUUAAGGCAAAAAAGUCAGAAAUACCCAUAUUUACACAUGUAGACAUACAUGUGUGAGUAUACAUUUACCUAAACAUAGAUGUACACAAAACAGAUGUAUGCAUGUAUAAAUAAACCAAAACCUUAUAACAAAUAAAAAAUGCAUUCCUACAAAACAUGUGUUUUGCAAAAACACAUACAAACUACAAGUUGCCCAUCAAACAAAACAUAAGGCUUGCUGAUGGCAGGGAGGGAAGAGAGUAGAUGACAAGCUCAGUCGGGAAAAAGAAAGGACAGAAGGGAGGCAGAAAGGGGGGGAGGAAGCAUGGAGAAAAGGAAAAGAAGGAAGAAGGAAGCAAGAGGGUGGGUUUUGCUUGACCCGCGGAUGACAACGUGCCACAGACUUCCCUCCGCACCUCUCAGUCCCCUCACCUGUGAACAAGAUGGAGAAAGUCCAAACAAAAAUGCUCUGUCACCCUGCGUGGUCACCUGUACCAUGGGAUGUGACCCUCACAACGGCGCCUUCAUUCCUUAAUGACAGGUAAGGAGCCAGGCUGCAGGGGAAGGACCGUUUGGCCAAGGCCGCGCGGAAUGUGCUCUGACUACUGCGCCCGGGGUGAGCCCACCCUGGAGCCUCCCCGCCGGGCAGGAGCACCACACUCUCCAAAUUACGUGUUCCCGAAGCUACCUGCCAGCUGGAAGGUUCCACGCUGUGAGUCCAGGUAGAUGUUCCAAGGUUGGCCAUCCAGUUUCUGAAAACCACUAUCAUGCGAAAGGGCUUUUAAACCAGCUCACAUUUAUGUCCGCACCCUGGCUCUCAUUUGUUUACUUUUUUUAAAUGCACAGAAUUUACUUAUUAUGUGCCAUGUUGUCCUCUAAAUCCUUUCAACCUAUAGGCUUUGUUUUUCUCCAAGAUGGCACGUUUCUUUUCCGUCUCUUCCCUCCCCUGCCCCUUCCUUUCCUCACCCUUAUCGGUGCAGCCUCAGUUCAACAAUGCACUCAGGGUGUGAUGUUUGGGAAACUCUGCUUUAAACUUUCCAUGUUUCAUCCCAAAGUAGCUUAAUUUCAUUCAAGUUGCCUUGCCCGUCACGCCUCCCCUGAACCAUCCCACGGCUUUAAACUCAGCCGCAGAGCCAGGGCGCUCUGGAACCCGGCAGGUGGACCACACGCGCUGGCCGGUGAUGCUCAGCACGGCCUGUGUCUUCUCAGGCACCUCGUGUGCCAGGAUGACCUUGGCAACGGCGGCUCGACAGAUGCCUUGUUUAUGGUUUCUAAUGACCCCCGCUGAAAUUUCUGGGGCUGUUCACGCAGCCCUAGUCUGGCGCCAGCUGUGGAACAAGCUAUCGUGUUGCUGGGGGAACAUAUGGCCACUCAGGUAUUUCUGCCCGCACACUGUCUUCAGUGUUGUUUCAGGAAAGAGAUACCCAAAGGAGGCCCCUGGAUGAUCCUGGUGUGGGUUUCACAUCCUGCCUGGUUUCCCGGAACCUCUGCUCACCUCCCUGCCUCCUGGCCUGGGCCUGGCUCUUUGGGAGGAAUGG